GACGAACGCUGGCGGCGUGCUUAACACAUGCAAGUCGAACGGAAAGGCCCUGCUUUUGUGGGGUGCUCGAGUGGCGAACGGGUGAGUAACACGUGAGUAACCUGCCCUUGACUUUGGGAUAACUUCAGGAAACUGGGGCUAAUACCGGAUAGGAGCUCCUGCUGCAUGGUGGGGGUUGGAAAGUUUCGGCGGUUGGGGAUGGACUCGCGGCUUAUCAGCUUGUUGGUGGGGUAGUGGCUUACCAAGGCUUUGACGGGUAGCCGGCCUGAGAGGGUGACCGGCCAAAUUGGGACUGAGAUACGGCCCAGACUCCUACGGGAGGCAGCAGUGGGGAAUAUUGCACAAUGGGCGGAAGCCUUAUGCAGCAACGCCGCGUGCGGGAUGACGGCCUUCGGGUUGUAAACCGCUUUCGCCUGUGACGAAGCGUUAGUGACGGUAAUGGGUAAAGAAGCACCGGCUAACUACGUG
rnacentral:rRNA from 1 species